rnacentral:lncRNA from 1 species
UUAACAAAAAAACUAGUAACAUAUCAGUUCCCAGCUGCCGAUGUCUUUUUCUUCUAUCUUUAAUUCUCUCUCACCUCUCACCUCUCACCUCUCACCUCUCACUGGCAGCACCCUCCUCGCCACCGUUAACAGGCCCUUCUCCUCCUCCUCGCCACCGUUAGCUGUACUUUCUCCUCCUCCUUCCGUCGGUUCCUCCUCCUCCACCUUGUUUGGAUGUUAAGCAGUCUUUCACCAGCUCCUCCUCCUCCUCCCUGUUCCGCCGGUUCUUCCACUGUUAGCUGAAAAUUUCUUCUUCUCAUGUUAGUGAAUGAUCAAUAUAUAUAUGCCCUAAUUUAGUAAAUUAAAUUUUGUCUGCCCUAAUUUUGAAUUCCCCUAAUUAUCAGUUAAUAUUCAAGGUUAAUGCAAGAAUUCGUAAAAAAAUUAGUAAAUAUUUCAUUCAAUGUACAUGUCAACUGAAAUUUUGAUAAUUUUGUGCCCUAAUUUGUCAUUUACCGAAAUUGGUAAUUCUGAAUAAUUGUUGAAUCUGAAAUUAGGACGUCGACAAUAGUGGAAUCUGCAUAUUGAGUUCAAUUCAAUUUGUUGAAUAUUGCAUACUGAAAUUGGAGCCUUGUCAUUCAAUUUGUUUUCUUCUGAAAUUGGGAAUCUGCAUAUUGAGUUGAAUGCUAGCUGAAAUUGGAGCCUUGUCAUUCAAUUUGUCACGUCUGAAAUUGGGAAUGUGCAUAUUGAGUUGAAUGUUAGCUAAAAUUGGAGCCUUGUCAUUCAAUUUGUCACGUCGGCUGAAACUUUUUUAUGUUACUAAUGAAUCUAAUAAUUGAUUCAAGUUGGGUUUAAUUUGUGCAAUUUUGUCAUUCAAUUUGUCACGUCGGCUGAAACUUUUUUAUGUUACUAAUGAAUCUAAUAAUUGAUUCAAGUUGGGUUUAAUUUGUGCAAUUUUCAUAUUUAUAAUUUGAUAUUGAGGCUGAUGUUAG